CUGCAACUAGAAUAUACAACUGUGUACUGGGGGGCUUUGGGGAGAAGAAAAAAAGAAGAUUGGCAACAGAUCUUAGCUCAGGUGCCAGUCUUAAAAAAAAAAAAUCAGUCUGAAAAAGGAUAACAAAACUAUGUAACUGCUUUUUCUUUUUUUAUAAAAGUAAUCCAAGGCCUGUUGUUAAAUAAAUGUAAAUUUCAGCGAGGCUCUUCCAUCCCCCACCCUGUGUGAAGCAACAUGCAUCAACUUACAUUUUCCCAAACUUAGGUCAACCAGGUCCUCUUUCCCCACGAUGGGGAGUAACUACUUGGAUUGCACAAAUGGGAUGCCCUUAUAUUUCCUAAAAUGACAGGCAUAAGUUGCAAGCUUCCCCACUGGGAACUAAUAUUUAUCAGUUAUUUCUCUUUAUUUGUAGAGGAGGAGCCCAAGGGCGAGGUUAAGUAACUUUUGGGUCACACAUGAAAGGUGGGGAUACCCACAUUAAUACACAGGUAUUAGGAGACACCAAAGGCCGUGAACUUUCCAUGGAGUACUUAUUAUUAUUUAAAAACAGGUUUAGAGAAUUUGGCAAUGCCCGCUACUCCCAGGCAAAAAAAUCUUAGAAAUGGCAGCCUAAUUUUAACUUUAUGUCAUCAUUGUGGGUGUGUGUGAUUUCACUGGGUUGCUGAAGGGGAAACAAUACAGAGUAAUGCGUGAAGCGCUCAUUCAAGGGCACGUAACCGUUAGUGUACUAAAUGCUGUCCGGUUCAGUGGUGGCCCUUAAAUCAUUUUCACUGCCUGGUAAGCUGGCUGAAAGUGGCCCUUGGGCACAAGAGAUGUGACUGGUGAUUACAGAGUGGCACAGUAGAGUUCAACUAGAACUUUAGAACUGAUAGGAGCAGAGUAGAAGAGCCUUUUAGCAUUUCCCCUUUUUUUUUUUUGCAGUGGCCAAUAAAAAGAUGGGCAUGGGAAAAAGCACAUUGGUGUGGCUUUGCACUGAUUUCACAUUGAGGAAGGCUCUUUGAUAACAGAAAAUUAGCCACUUCGUUUUAUACAAGGACACUGAGGCACAUGCGGUUAGUUGGUUUUCCUCAAUCAGACUUCCAGUCUGUGUACCUCCUCUCAAAACACUAUAUGUUGACUGUAUACUUCAUGUAGAUCAGAAAUUAGAAUUCAGUUUGGGGGACUAUGUGGUGGGGUAGUGGGCAAUCUAUCCACUCAUGGAAUUGGUUAUCAGAAUUAAGUGAGAGAAUAAACACUUGGCACUAUUGAAAAAGUGUUCACUAAGCUCAACAGUUUGUCUUUUUUCUAAGGUAAAAUUCACUGAACAAAAUGAGCCAUUAAUCAUUCUAAAGUGGACAGUGCAGUGGUAUUUGGUACAUUCAAGAUGUGCAACCAUCACCUGUAGCUGGUUCCAAGAUCUUUUCCUCACCCUAAAAGGAUACCCCUCACCCACUAGUAAUCACUCCCCAUUCCUCCUCCCCCCAGCCCUUAACAGACACUGGUCUACUGUCUGUCUCUGGGCUUACCAGUCUGGAUAUUUCAUAUUAAGGGAACCAUAUAACACAUGACCUUUUCAGUCUAGCUUCUUUCACUAAGAACGUUUUUGAGGUCCCUCCAUGUGUAGCAAGUAUCAGUGCUUCAUUCCUUUUUAUGUACGUUUAUGCUACACUUGUUUAUCCAUUCAUCCAAUAAUGGACAUUUGUGUUUGCAUGUUUUCAGUAUUGUAAAUAGUGCUGCAAGGAAUAUUCUUGAACAAGAAUUUGAGUAUCUGUUUUCAAUUCUUUGGGGUAUAUACCUAAGAGUAGAAUUGUUGGGUCAUAUGGUCAUUUUAUGUUUAAAUUUUUGAGGAACCACCAAACUUUUCCACCACAGCUGCACCAGUUUACACACCUGCUAGCAAUGUACAAGGGUUCUAACUUCUCCACACCCUCACCAACUCUUAUUUUCCAUUUUCUUGAUUCUAGCCAUUCUAGUGGGUGUGAAGUGGUAUCUCAUUGUGAUUUGAUCUGAAGUUCUCUAAUGACUAAUGACAUUGGGUAUCCCUGCAGGUGCUUUUUAGUCAUUUGUUUAUCUUUGGGGAAAUGUCUAAGUUAUUUGCCCAUUUUCUAAUUGGGUUGUCUUUUUGUUAAGUUGUAGUUCUUUAUAUGUUCUGGAUACUAGACGCUUAUCAGAUACAUGAUUUGCAAAUACCUUCUCCCAUUCUGUGAGCUGUCUUUUCACUCUCUUCAUAGAGCCCUUUGAUGUACAAAAAUUUUUAUUUUUGAUCAAGUCCAAUUUAUUUUUCCUUUUGUUGCUUGUACUUUUGGUGUCAUAUGUAAGAAACUAUUGCCAAAUCCAAGGUCAUAAAGAUUUAUCCCAUGUUUUCUUCUAAGAGUUUUAUGGGUUUAGGUCUGUGAUCCAUUUUGAGUUAAUUUUUGUAAAUGGUGUGAGGUAAGGGUCCAACUUCAUUCUAUUCCACGUGAAUAUGCAGUUGUCCCAGCACCAUUUGUUGAAGAGAAUAUUCUUUCCCCAUUAAACAGUACUUGCCCCUUUGUCAAAAGUUAGUUGACCAUAGCUGCAUGGGUUUACUGCUGGACUCUCAAUUCUAUUCUAUUGUUCUAUAUAUCUAUCCUCAUGCAAGUACCACACUGUAGUGUUGGAGUGAAAUUUGGAAUCAGCAAUUGUGAAUCCUCCAACUUUCUUCUUUUUCAAAAUUAUUUUGGUUUUUCUGGGUCCCUUGAGUUUACAGAUUAAUUUUAGGGUCAGCUUAUCAAUUUCUACAAAGAUGACAGUUGAUAUUCUGAUAAGAAUUAGAUUUAAUCUAUAGAUCACCUCAGGGAGUAUUGCUAUCUUUACAAUAUUAAGGCUUCCAAUUCAUGAACGUGGAUGUCUUUCCACUUAUUUAGGUCGUCAUUAACUUCUUUAAGCUGUGUUUUGUAGUUUUCAGUGUAUAACUUCUACACUUGUGUUAAAUUUAUUCCUAAGUAUUUUAUUCUUUUGAUGCUAUUGUAAAC
ensembl:lncRNA